ACCGGAUGUCCCGAGGGCAGU
rnacentral:misc_RNA from 1 species